rnacentral:lncRNA from 1 species
GCGCGCUUUACGCGAGUGUACAGUAUGUGGAUACAGUUGAAUAUCAUAUGCACAUGCAUCCAUACACACUUGACAGAUGUUCAUAAUUAAACAGAAAACGAAGGAAGCUGCUAAAAGGUUAAAAGGAUCGUAUAUGAAGUUGUUUAGGCUCUCAUCCAGCAGAAGUGUGAUGAUAUCGGUUAGUAAACGUCUGAAACGUGGCAGAGAAUUUGCUGAUCUGAAUGCCCAAGUGUGAAAAGAUUGGAGAUAAUGAGAGAGAUCAAAUCUGAUAACAGAUCGGAUGACUGGUAGACUGUCUCAUCAAAAGGCUGACAAAAAAACAGGCAGCUGCAGAGACAGGGAGAAAGAGAGAGAGAGGUGCGCAACUGAAGCUUUCUUUCGUGUGCGUGUGAAACCAGAAACAACAACAGUCAGCGACUGCAGCGUGAAGAGAACAUGCAUUGCUCUCCUUUCAUCCUCACAUUGGUGUGUUUUUCUGAUAUUUUGGUGAAUUUUAUAACUUUAUCCCAAUAUCACCUGCUCUCUGAACAUCUCGGCUGAGUCUCUGGGCAAUGAAUCGUCCUACUGGCUGCAGUUCAGCACAUAUGACGAACGCUAUGACUGCGCACUGAAGAUGGGAGAACAGUCGUUACUGUGUGAGUUGGAUUUAUCACCGCAUGUGGUUUUCAACGAUGUGGAGAGCUACAGCAUCUCACUUCAUUCCGGUUACCAUGGCAACAACUUCUCCGUCGUACUUGAUGCUGACUUCAUGCCUAGUAAACACAUUCGUCCAGUCCCUCCAUCUGACCUGUCACUGCUCUGGGAGAAAGAUGGGGGCUCUUUUCCAGUGGCAGAGCGGAUAUGACGCAGACAGUUUAUCCAUACCCGACCUUCAGUACCAGCUCAGCAUUUACAGUCAACACAAGCUGUAUGAGGUAGAAGCUGUUGAACAGAAGGUGUUUGUGGACGAGUCUAGAUUUGAACCUCACACAAAUUACACAAUGCGUUUGAGAUCGCGGCCAGAUCAAGUGUUCUAUAAAGGCGUGUGGAGUCUGUGGGCCCCUGCGUUACACUGGAGAUCAGGGGACAUUCGCAAAGAGACUCCAGGAGGAUCUUUCCCUAUUGCCUGGUAUCUUCUGUUAGUGCCAUUACCGCUGGUCCUUCUGUUCUGUAUCCCAUACUCCAGAUGGAGGAAGAAUGAUUAUAUACCUUCACCAGCCCCUUAUUUCAGAGACUGGGAUGUGGAUGUUCAGAUCUGUACAACGCGGUCAGGUGAGAUGAGAGACGUAAUGCAGGGGGAGGAGUCUCUCCAGAUUGACAUUCUGACAGAAAGCACAGACACGCCCCCUCAACCCACCACCUUAGACUAUGAGAAAAUGGGAGAGAUCAACGAGCGUGAGUCUCCUGUGGGUUCAGAGGUCGACUCAGGCUGUUGGAUUCGUGAUUUUGUCACAACUGAGAGAGGAAGCAUCACAUGCAGUGAGGACUACUGCACACUCUCCAAUUCACACAUUUAUGCAGUCUAA